rnacentral:misc_RNA from 1 species
GGCAAUUUACUAUUAAUUAUGCUUGAAUUGUGAAUAAUGUAGUCCAUAUAUACAUGGUAGACUCUUACAUGAUACCCUCGAUAAGGCUAAUCGAUAUUUUUGGGAAUAGAUUCCUGUUGUUCAGAACUAAGAAAAUGCAGUCCAGACCAUAAAAUAUGAUGGUAGGUUUCUGGUCAAGUGACACGGUUCUACAGUAGUCGAAACUUCAAAUAUGCUAGUUCUUGUUUCCUGCUCGAAUUCCUUCAGCCUCGCUCAUUAAAAGUUCAACGCUAAGGUGCCUGUGUUACAUAUUAGAAAAUUCCGCUUCACCGAACCACUCUCACCAAGCGAUAAAAAGGCCAUGCAAAUAAUUUUCCUCGAUCGGUGAAUGUGUUACUACACAUUGUCGGGGCAGGAGCUCGAGGUGUUUCCACCUACCAUCAUCGAGUUUUUGGCUUUGAAGCUCUGUAAGAUCAGGCAAUCAUCCAUACCCCUUUUAAGGGGGAUGGAAGGGCCCCAGCUCCCUGAGCGAACGUGUUGACACGUAGCACCAGCUAGAUUUGACCAUAAGCACAAUUUGUGGCCUAAAUUGAGCGAAGGAAGAAAACCUGGGAAUAUCAUCCGGCAGUAUACUGGCGACGGUAUUCCUCACCUCAGAUAUUCUCACUUUUUCUGGCAGCGGCUACAAAGUAGAGACCGGAUGAGCAACCUGCUAGGCAACCAUAUUUUUACAGGAAAAAAAAAUUU